AUUGAACGCUGGCGGCAGGCCUAACACAUGCAAGUCGAAUGGUAACAGGAAACAGCUUGCUGUUUCGCUGACGAGUGGCGGACGGGUGAGUAAUGUCUGGGAAACUGCCUGAUGGAGGGGGAUAACUACUGGAAACGGUAGCUAAUACCGCAUAACGUCGUAAGACCAAAGAGGGGGACCUUCGGGCCUCUUGCCAUCAGAUGUGCCCAGAUGGGAUUAGCUAGUAGGUGGGGUAACGGCUCACCUAGGCGACGAUCCCUAGCUGGUCUGAGAGGAUGACCAGCCACACUGGAACUGAGACACGGUCCAGACUCCUACGGGAGGCAGCAGUGGGGAAUAUUGCACAAUGGGCGCAAGCCUGAUGCAGCCAUGCCGCGUGUAUGAAGAAGGCCUUCGGGUUGUAAAGUACUUUCAGCGGGGAGGAAGGGAGUAAAGUUAAUACCUUUGCUCAUUGACGUUACCCGCAGAAGAAGCACCGGCUAACUCCGUG
rnacentral:rRNA from 1 species